GGAUGGACAACAAAUGCUGGUAGUUAAUGUUCCUUUACUAUAUUGAUAAAUUUGUUAGUGCUUUAUUUAGGACUUAGGCAUCUGUAUUACCAAGCUUAGUUAAAAUAGCAAGAGAUAUUUAAACACCAAAGUCCACAGCAGCACUAUUCACAAGCCAAGAAGUGGAGGCAACCCAAGUGUUAUCAAUGGAUGAGUAGAUAAACAAGAUGUGAUAUAUACAUAUAAUGGAAUAUUAUACAGCCUCAAAAAGGAAGGAAAUUCUGACAGAUGCUACAACAUGGAUGAUCCUUCAUGACAUUAUGGAUUUGAUGCUCAGAUGCGGACACAACUACUUUUACCUUGGAGUGAGUCUGUGCUGCUUUGAAGCUUUUAGAUGGGCAACAGUGAAAGCGAAGACCCACCUUUACUGUGUCUUUCUUCUCAGGAAUGACAGCUGAUUUGUAAUCUCGAUGCUUUGGGAGCUUCUCAAUAAAGAGCCUAAAGGAA